GUCCAGGGAUUGGAAUCAAACCCAAAGUGUUACGAUUACCGGGCAGAUGCCAUGUCCACUAGGCUACCCUGGA
rnacentral:tRNA from 1 species